UUGGAUUCUAAGUGAAAAACUCACAGAAUAAUCUGCUAAUAGGUCUGCAAACAAAGUUCACUAGAAAAAAAAGGAGAUAUGAGAUAUGAGAAAAGCGUUAAAAUUAAAAAUCCACAAGAAAUGGAAAUGCUCAGGUUUGCUGUUCCUGAGGGGAGAAGGUAACAAAGCAUAUCCUGGAUUGCCCAAUAGCAAUUUUCUUAACAAAUUGUGAGAACCAUUAGACAGUCGAGUGAACUUGUGAAUCGGUGAUUUUUGUGGUGGUGCCUUUCUCUUGAUCUUGACCUUUCAUUAAGAGUUUCUUGAUUCACUCCACGGGACCAACAGAACCAGAAAGAGAUCUUGGAUUCUCAGGCAGCAUUUGCACUACGAUGCUGCUAAUUAAUCUUGAUGGGAAGGAUAGGAUAUGGCAUUGAUUAAAGAAUCUAUUGUACGUGGGCAGUAUUAUAUACUGAGCAUCCGGAAAAGAAGAGAUCUUUUCCAGACCCAUUGGUUAUUGGUGAACUUUCAAAUUUGGCCCUCCAAUCUCUGUAUUUUAUUGGUAAAAUGUAAAUCCAAAUUCAGCUGUUUUACACAGAGCAACUUACACACAUACAGUUGAAACUAAAGAAAUGAUUCCAAGAUACUAUCUUUACAUAAUCAAUCUAUGGCAAGUAUGUAUAUGUUAAAGUAAUCAUAUGACGAUUACUUUGAUAAGUUAUGCUGUAAAUCAUUUAUUAAUAAAUAUCUAUUAUGUGAAAAUUAAAUGAAAACGAGUAAGCGUGUAAACCUUUACACAAUAUUGUAGUACCAUUGUAUUGAAUGCUAAAAUUAGUUGUUGCCGUUUGAAUCUUUUUGUAUAUCCCUCGUGCUAAUGAAAUGAUUUUCACUUGAACAA